rnacentral:rRNA from 1 species
CCUACGGGAGACAGCAGUGAGGAAUAUUGGUCAAUGGACGAGAGUCUGAACCAGCCAAGUAGCGUGAAGGAUGACUGCCCUAUGGGUUGUAAACUUCUUUUAUAUGGGAAUAAAACGUUCCACGUGUGGGAUUUUGUAUGUACCAUAUGAAUAAGGAUCGGCUAACUCCGUGCCAGCAGCCGCGGUAAUACGGAGGAUCCGAGCGUUAUCCGGAUUUAUUGGGUUUAAAGGGAGCGUAGGUGGAUUGUUAAGUCAGUUGUGAAAGUUUGCGGCUCAACCGUAAAAUUGCAGUUGAAACUGGCAGUCUUGAGUACAGUAGAGGUAGGCGGAAUGCGUGGUGUAGCGGUGAAAUGCUUAGAUAUCACGAAGAACUCCGAUUGCGAAGGCAGUUCACUGGACUGCAACUGACACUGAGGCUCGAAAGUGUGGGUAUCAAACAGGAUUAGAUACCCGAGUAGUC